rnacentral:misc_RNA from 1 species
GGAGUAAAAGUCGUAACAAGGUCUCCGUUGGUGAACCAGCGGAGGGAUCAUUACCGAGUUUACAACUCCCAAACCCCAUGUGAACCUUACCAAACGUUGCUUCGGCGGGAUGCCCCGGGCGCGGGCCGCAAGGCCUCAGCCCCGGAACCAGGCGCCCGCCGGAGGCCCAAACCAAACUCUUGUUUUUGUAGAAUCUUCUGAGUGGCCUUUUAGGCAAAAAAUGAAUCAAAACUUUCAACAACGGAUCUCUUGGUUCUG